rnacentral:lncRNA from 13 species
GCUGCCACCUGCACAGCAGAGGCCCAGGACAUCUCUCCCUAACUACUGUCAUCAAUACAGGCCAUCUCUCCCUAACUACUGUCUAAUGUCAUCAAUACAGGACAUCUCUCCCCAACUACUGUCUAAUAUCACCAAUACAGGACAUCUCUCCCUAACUACUGUCUAAUAUCACCAAUACAGGCCAUCUCUCCCUAACUACUGUCUAAUGUCAUCAAUACAGGCCAUCUCUCCCUAACUACUGUCUAAUUUCACCAAUACAGGCCAUCUCUCC